GACGGAGAGGGCAAGCGUUGUCCCGACUUGCUGGGCGUAGAGCGCACGGAGGCGGCCCGAUGCGUCGCUGCUGAAAGCGCCCCGCUUAACGGGGCGAGGCGUGGCGAUACGAUCGGGCUGGAGGCCAGCAGAGGGUGGCGGAAUUCCGGGUGUAGUGGUGAAAUGCGUAGAGAUCCGGAGGAACGCCGGUGGCGCAAGUGGCCACCGGGGCUGGACCUGACUCUGAGGUGCGAAAGCGUGGGGAGCGAACCGG
rnacentral:rRNA from 1 species